rnacentral:tRNA from 1 species
AGAUCGGUAGCUAAGCGGUUAAGGCACCCGCCUUUUAAGCGGGUUAUCGUGGGUUCAAAUCCCACCCGAUCUACCA